rnacentral:rRNA from 1 species
UACGUAGGGGGGCUAGCGUUGUCCGGAAUCAUUGGGCGUAAAAGAGCGCGUAGGCGGCCAGAUAAGUCCGGUGAUGAAAACGUCGAGGCUUAACCUCGAGAUGUCAUCGGAAACUAUUCGGCUAGAGUCCGGAAGAGGCGAGUGGAAUUCCUGGUGUAGCGGUGGAAUGCGCAGAUAUCAGGAGGAACACCAAUAGCGAAGGCAGCUCGCUGGGACGAAACUGACGCUAAGGCGCGAAAGCGUGGGGAGCGAACAGG